AACCUGGGAACUGCAUUCGAAACUGGCAGGCUAGAGUCUUGUAGAGGGGGGUAGAAUUCCAGGUGUAGCGGUGAAAUGCGUAGAGAUCUGGAGGAAUACCGGUGGCGAAGGCGGCCCCCUGGACAAAGACUGACGCUCAGGUGCGAAAGCGUGGGGAGCAAACAGGAUUAGAUACCCUGGUAGUCCACGCCGUAAACGAUGUCGAUUUGGAGGUUGUGCCCUUGAGGCGUGGCUUCCGGAGCUAACGCGUUAAAUCGACCGCCUGGGGAGUACGGCCGCAAGGUUAAAACUCAAAUGAAUUGACGGGGGCCCGCACAAGCGGUGGAGCAUGUGGUUUAAUUCGAUGCAACGCGAAGAACCUUACCUGGUCUUGACAUCCACAGAACUUUCCAGAGAUGGAUUGGUGCCUUCGGGAACUGUGAGACAGGUGCUGCAUGGCUGUCGUCAGCUCGUGUUGUGAAAUGUUGGGUUAAGUCCCGCAACGAGCGCAACCCUUAUCCUUUGUUGCCAGCGGUCCGGCCGGGAACUCAAAGGAGACUGCCAGUGAUAAACUGGAGGAAGGUGGGGAUGACGUCAAGUCAUCAUGGCCCUUACGACCAGGGCUACACACGUGCUACAAUGGCAUAUACAAAGAGAAGCGACCUCGCGAGAGCAAGCGGACCUCAUAAAGUAUGUCGUAGUCCGGAUUGGAGUCUGCAACUCGACUCCAUGAAGUCGGAAUCGCUAGUAAUCGUAGAUCAGAAUGCUACGGUGAAUACGUUCCCGGGCCUUGUACACACCGCCCGUCACACCAUGGGAGUGGGUUGCAAAAGAAGUAGGUAGCUUAACCUUCGGGAGGGCGCUUACCACUUUGUGAUUCAUGACUGGGGUGAAGUCGUAACAAGGUAACCGUAGGGGAACCUGCGGUUGGAUCACCUCCUUA
rnacentral:rRNA from 1 species